UAGCUCAGUGGUAGAGUAUGUGCCUAGCAUGCAUGAGACCCUGGGUUUCAUCCCCAG
rnacentral:tRNA from 1 species